UACGUAGGGGGGCGAGCGUUGUUCGGAAUCACUGGGCUUAAAGGGUGCGUAGGCGGCUGCCUAAGUCAGGUGUGAAAUCUCCCGGCUCAACCGGGAAACUGCGCUUGAUACUGGGCGGCUCGAGUGAGGUAGGGGUGUGUGGAACUUCCGGUGGAGCGGUGAAAUGUGUAGAUAUCGGAAGGAACGCCAGCAGCGAAAGCGGCACACUGGGCCUUUUCUGACGCUGAGGCACGAAAGCCAGGGGAGCGAACGGG
rnacentral:rRNA from 1 species